AAAGGAAUUGACGGGGCCUGCACAGCGGUGGAGCAUGUGGUUUAAUUCGAAGCAACGCGAAGAACCUUACCAGGUCUUGACAUCCCCUGACAACCCGAGAGAUCGGGCGUUCCCCUUCGGGGGACAGGGUGACAGGUGGUGCAUGGUUGUCGUCAGCUCGUGUCGUGAGAUGUUGGGUUAAGUCCCGCAACGAGCGCAACCCUCGUCCUAUGUUGCCAGCGGGUCAUGCCGGGGACUCAUGGGAGACUGCCGGGGUCAACUCGGAGGAAGUGGGGAUGACGUCAAAUCAUCAUGCCCCUUAUGUCUUGGGCUUCACGCAUGCUACAAUGGCCGGUACAAAGGGCUGCGAUACCGCGAGGUGGAGCGAAUCCCAGAAAGCCGGUCUCAGUUCGGAUUGGGGUCUGCAACUCGACCCCAUGAAGUCGGAGUCGCUAGUAAUCGCAGAUCAGCAACGCUGCGGUCGAAUACGUUCCCGGGCCUU
rnacentral:rRNA from 1 species